GCCUUUUCAACAGGAAAGGUGGAUUGCCGUCCGGGAAGGCACGCCUGCGAACUGCAAAUCGCUUCCGGCUUACAGCGCAACAGCCACGACAGAAACAGAAAUGCCAACAACAUGUGACCUGACCACUAGGCGAGCAGUACAUGGAUCCGUGGCGAAUGACACCGGUGUGAGUCAUAAAGACGCGCACCGCAGACGAAUAUGCCGACCAGAUAUCCCGGCAGGGACUCCAGUUGGCAAUGGCCGAAAGUGAUAUAUGUCGAUCAUCACCAACAGCCAUCAAUCAGUCAGUCACCCCUGGAUCGGAUCCGAUCAGCGAGAAAUGGAUACUACUCGUACAUCGGUACAUGAUUGCAUUAUUGCCGAUGGACGCUAUCAGAGUCGGGACAUAAAGCUAGCAGGUGUUCCUGGUAAGUGGUAAUCACUAAUCAGUGGCCUCCUCCUAUCCGUAUCCAUUCAUCCAUCUUUCUGCCAUCUCUGCUCUGCUGCUGCUGUAUGAUGCCGAUCAGCAGAUGCGUCGCCCGGCCAUGAUGAUCCAGUGGCAACUUGUCCUCAUCUGCCCCAUGAUUGGAAGAAAGCUUUGUUCUAGCUUAUGUUAAACAGAAUGGACGCAUGCAUGCACCGGAGAGAGCAGAGGUCGAUCGAUAGAUCUGGAGCAGUGUCACCAGGAAUGUAAAAAGGCUGGUUAAAUUAUUAUUUUUGUAGUAAGAUCCAACAGCCUGAAAAAUGAAAAGUCAUCAACAGGUCUGUGUACAUGACAAACAACUUUCGGUGACACAACCAUGUCGGUGCACGCGGGAUGCAGUGGAAGCAUGAAAUCUAGAUUCAAUAAAUUGGCCAGCUGGAAUUCCAAACGACAUAUCUUAUCAUGCAACUUGCAGGAUAGGACGAUCCAGAUCGAUGGUGGAUGAGUCCAGUCCACUAGCGAAGAAUGAGCCAAGCAAGUGAGUGUGGUUCUACCAACCAGACCAGGAGAGGACCAGGACCAGCCCCACCAUGCAUGCAGGUGCAGCAGAUAGCUAGAGUAGCUCUGCUUUCUCCCCCAGGCGGCGCCGGAAAUUAAUUCCUCGGCUUUCUGACGUUGCAUCCGUCAUUAAAAAAAACUUUCAUUCUAUUCGUCUUAAAUCAUGGCAGUACAAUUGUCUGUGGUUUUCAGGUCACGGAUCAUGGAUGGAGUUGGACCCUGGCCAGACAAUCCUAAUUGCCCCUUCAGCAUCUGAAAUGUUCAUAGUGAUCUUUUUGGUUUGUUUUCAAGCAAAAGUUUAGCUCCCUUAAAAAAGAAAUGAAGAAGCAAAGUGCACCAGCUCAUGAACCAAAGCGGUUUUGCAUCCAUGUCUAUGUGCUCAUCAGUGGAGUGUACGUACGACUUCUGGAUUCCUAUAUUGGAAUUAGUGGUCCUAGCCUCAGGCUCUAGAAUCUUCCGUGUGCAUGUCUAUACGCCUAGCAGCGGACACCUUUGCUUGCAGUUGCAGCCUACGGGGGCGGCGCACCGAGGUCCGAGGGCUUUGUAUGUGAGCUGGAAACCAACGGCAGCACGGCGCCGCUUGGCAUCUAAUGUCCGUACUCGCGAUUCUCACCUUUAUAUAUCUAUUCUGGAACAAGUUGGGUCGAAAUAUCCAAAAUAUAUGUAGUGUUCUGGCCGUCAUCGAAUGUACUCCCCCGUCCUAUAAUGUGACAUUGUAGUGUCAAGAAACGUUUUACUAGUGUCAAGAAACGUCUUACAUUAUGAGAUGAAGGGAGUGCUUGUUUGUUUCUUGCUCGUGAUGCAUGGAGCAGAGAUGUAUGGUUUUGUGUUGUAUGAUUUGCUUCGAUCGGGAUGUUCACGCAUGUCUAAUCUAAUCAUUUAGGCCCCGCAAAGAGAAUGUCUAAUCAUUUAGGUUGCGUUUGAGAAUCAAGUCGCCGGCAGGCAACGUGCACUCGUGCUCUCCUCGAUCGGCCAUCAGACGGGCUCCGGUCUCGAGAACUAUGUGAUUUUUAGUGUCAAAAAAGAGCUUGAGAAGUAUGUGAAAAUUUGCCAAUUCUAGAUUGAAUGGCAUUCGAUUUGUGCGAACUACCAUUGCCUUGGACUCUUAAGAAAAACAUCACACCGUGCGCAUGCAUGUACUGUA